rnacentral:misc_RNA from 1 species
AUUUUUUUUUUUUCAGAAGUAAUAAACAAAAAACAAAGGUGGAAAUCUAGCUCCCUGUGAGGGCGUUGAUUAAUAGACUUUGCAAGGUGGGCUGGCUGUAGCCUGAGCCCAUGGGUCAGGGUCUGGAUGGAAAGGAAAGAAAAGGGAGGAGGGGGAAAAGGGAGGGAAGGAGGUAAUGGAUUGCUUAAUCAAAUUUUAUUCCUAUAUGAAAUUAAGGGCAAAAAAGAAAAUAAGGAUGAAACGAAUUCCCUGUAAUAUUUGAUGCAGACAGUACAGCACAUAAGACAGCUCCCCCUCACCAGACAGUUCUCAAACUUCCUGAUGCUGGCUCGUUAAGAAGGUAAGAAACAACUAUGACAGAACCAAAACUUCCCCCUGUUGAACACAAAUUGCUGUAUGACUUUCUUGUAUAUGAGUGCGCCUGAGAAUCUGUAUAUGCUGAGGAAUUACUAGUUCGUGCAAUCAAAUCCAUGGCAAAUGGAAAGCCAGAUUAUGAGAACCAGAAGUAACAAGAUUCCGAGAACAACCAACUUAAUCUUCAUGUUCUGAUACCACAUUUUCCGUCGGAUCUGUGUCCCCUGUUUCUUGUAUGCUUGGGCCUGAAUUUCAUAACAAAGAUAUCAAUCAAGCACUGGGCACCAGAAAAUAAGUCAGUGAAGAAUUUAUUCUGCAAGGAUAUCCUAUUAACCUACCUGAUCGCGUAAAUUUUCAGUUUUGUCAGCUAGAGUCGUUAUGGUCUCACCCCUAUCAAUAACCUGAAAGAUGAAAAUGGCUUCAACUAAGCAUGAAAUGUAACACUCAUUUUGCUUGAAUUGUCAGUCACAUGAUUCUAGUGAUUCAAAAAGAGAAAGAUUAAAUAAAGGAUUUAAACUAAAGAAAGAUAAAAUAAAGGAUUUAAAUUAACAAACAAUUGCAUGAUCAAAACAGAAUUUAAGACAAAGUGUUUCACAUUUUAUUAGAUGCAUAUACUGGUAAGAGAUGGUAUCAUUUGAAAGCUCAUUCAGUUUUGGUCCUUAACUUGUAGACAACAUACACCAAGAUCCAAACAAUAUCUGCCAAUACUAGGGCCAUUCCCAACAAAAUUCUUAAAUGAACUACCAAAAUUACUCCACGUUCAACCCUGCUUCCCCACCCCUCUUAAUACACAUUUUUCAUGACCAAUUUCAGCAUUCAAGUUACCAUUCCAAAUUCCAAUAAUACAGAAGAUCAAAGCAUAUAUUUUAGGAGAAUGACCCAAAAGAACAAAAAACUUGGAUCUUGAUUUGACACAUUUAUAAAAAUUAUUCCCCGCCAGAUUUUGCUUUUAUGGCUCAAAAAAUUUCGCCUUCAGUUUCCACUCCUUACUGCACAUUUUUAAUGUUUGCAAGGAGUCAUCUGAAAUAUGCACUAAAAAAGCAAGCUAUUAGCUAAACUGACCAUGUGUCUUUUCCGGUAUGAUUCACUUACCUUGUCAAUAUUCCCUAACAUUAUACUUUUAACUUCUGAAACUUGAGCCUUCACUUUUAAUAGUUUCUCAAUUUCUUCAGCAUGGUCAAUAAUAUAUUUCAUGUGCUCUUUCAUAAUUGGCCUGAAAAAGGAAAUCAUACUACCUUACAUUCUGGUCCUAAAAUUAUAAAAAAUAAUUCAUAUUUUCUUUUUCCUCUUUUUUCUCCUCUUUUGUUUUUUGUUUGUCAGUGGUAUAAUACUUGAUAGACUUCCAUAGAUGCACAUACCCAAACUCCUUGUUGAGACUUUUGGCAAUAGCUGUGUCCGCUUUACCACCCCCAUAUCUUUUCUUGAAGUCUGCUUUCAUGCGUUCCAAAAAAGCAAUAGAAAUCUGUUUGCUAACAGAUUCUUUUGCGACAACACAAUAUGCUGCAAAUAGCAGAAAGCAUAAUAUCAAGAGGUAGAAGCAUUAAAACCUUCCGCACUAUGAUUUGACAGCAAUUCCUUUAUGCAAAAACCAGAUAAAUAAAAGGUUCAUUAAUAUCUGUAGAGUAUAUUACUCAUGGUUGCAGCUACAACUAUUGUGACUCGACUACUAAAAUCACUUGCAUUGAAUAGCAGAAUGACUAAAGAUAUAUAUAAUGGUGUGUAUAAAUUCACCAAGCACAUUACUCAUCACUUCUCUCAAAUCACAACUAAACACACAUAAUUUGUAACAUAUAGCUAAAACCUAGAACCAUUCAUCCCCUCAAGGAAAUCAUUUUGUAUGAGGGUCAAUUUAGAUAUGUGUGCAUUUGAAAUAAAGGUGAAUUUAAUUCAUUUUUCAUGGGAAAAAUCAUAAACACCAAAUUUAAUGCGGAAUUCAAACGCCCCUUAAUUUAUUUCUUAUCUAU